rnacentral:rRNA from 1 species
UACGUAGGGGGCAAGCGUUGUCCGGAAUCAUUGGGCGUAAAGCGCGCGUAGGCGGCCCGGUAAGUCCGUUGUGAAAGUCAAAGGCUCAACCUUUGAACGCCGAUGGAUACUGCCGGGCUAGAGUCCGGAAGAGGCGAGUGGAAUUCCUGGCGUAGCGGUGGAAUGCGCAGAUAUCAGGAGGAACACCGGUGGCGAAGGCGGCGACCUGGACCGGUACUGACGCUGAGACGCGAAAGCGUGGGGAGCAAACAGG